rnacentral:rRNA from 1 species
CACGUAGGCGGCUAUCCAAGUCGGGGGUGAAAGCCCGGGGCUCAACCCCGGAACUGCCCUCGAAACUAGGUAGCUAGAAUCUUGGAGAGGUCAGUGGAAUUCCGAGUGUAGAGGUGAAAUUCGUAGAUAUUCGGAAGAACACCAGUGGCGAAGGCGACUGACUGGACAAGUAUUGACGCUGAGGUGCGAAAGCGUGGGGAGCAAACA